GAAUGCCACAAGCAUUGAGUGGGAAAGACCAGGCAUGGCUUGAAUCUGAAUCCCUACACUGCUUUGGACGUGCCUGGCCCAGUGUAGUGCUUUGCCCUUCCUGUUCCCAUCUUCUAGACUCAUCUACAAUAACAGUCUUUUGCUCUCAGCAGUGACUGAAGCACCAUGAAGAUUUUCAUUCAGUGUCUGUGUUAUCAUGCAGCAAUGACUCAGUCAUCAUGUCAAGAUGACCAAGAGCAAGCAAAGCUUGUCGUGUCUGCAGAAGCUUCUGUCAAAUAAUAGCAGCUUUCACCCGAUCAAGUCUCUAGCUCCAUCUCUUGACUAUUGUGCUUGUUUUGGCCAGAGUUAAUGUUCUUCACAGUAAUUUGUGUGGUCUGUGUUUUGGAUUUAUGAUGAAAAAGUAUUGCUAGCAAUCAGGAUGUUUAGUUACAGCUGAGCAGUGCUUGCACAGCAUUGAGGUGAGCUUUGUUCCUCAUACUGCCCCAUCAAUGUGUAGGCUGGGGAUGCACAAGAAGCAGGAAGGGGACACAGCUGGGACAGCUGACCCCAAGUGACCAAAGGAAUAUUCCAUCCAUAUGGUGUCGUGCUCAGCAUGUAAAGCAGGGGGAAGAAGGGGAAAAGGGGACAUUUGGCAUUGGUCCUCCUAGAUAACCAUUACCCAUGAUGGGGCCCUGCUUCUGUAGAAAUGGCUGAACACUUACACACUGAUGGGAAGCAGUGAAUGAAUUCCUGAUAUUGCUUUGCUUCUCAUGCAGCAUUUGCUUUAUCUAUUAAACUGUCUCUAUCUCACGA